rnacentral:tRNA from 2 species
GGGGCUGUGGCGCAGACCGGUAGCGCACCUCGUUCGCAUCGAGGGGGUCAGGGGUUCAAAUCCCCUCAGCUCCACCG